rnacentral:rRNA from 1 species
GUGAGUAACACGUGGGUAACCUGCCCAUCAGAAGGGGAUAACACUUGGAAACAGGUGCUAAUACCGUAUAACAAUCAAAACCGCAUGGUUUUGAUUUGAAAGGCGCUUUCGGGUGUCGCUGAUGGAUGGACCCGCGGUGCAUUAGCUAGUUGGUGAGGUAACGGCUCACCAAGGCCACGAUGCAUAGCCGACCUGAGAGGGUGAUCGGCCACAUUGGGACUGAGACACGGCCCAAACUCCUACGGGAGGCAGCAGUAGGGAAUCUUCGGCAAUGGACGAAAGUCUGACCGAGCAACGCCGCGUGAGUGAAGAAGGUUUUCGGAUCGUAAAACUCUGUUGUUAGAGAAGAACAAGGAUGAGAGUAACUGUUCAUCCCUUGACGGUAUCUAACCAGAAAGCCACGGCUAACUACGUGCCAGCAGCCGCGGUAAUACGUAGGUGGCAAGCGUUGUCCGGAUUUAUUGGGCGUAAAGCGAGCGCAGGCGGUUUCUUAAGUCUGAUGUGAAAGCCCCCGGCUCAACCGGGGAGGGUCAUUGGAAACUGGGAGACUUGAGUGCAGAAGAGGAGAGUGGAAUUCCAUGUGUAGCGGUGAAAUGCGUAGAUAUAUGGAGGAACACCAGUGGCGAAGGCGGCUCUCUGGUCUGUAACUGACGCUGAGGCUCGAAAGCGUGGGGAGCAAACAGGAUUAGAUACCCUGGUAGUCCACGCCGUAAACGAUGAGUGCUAAGUGUUGGAGGGUUUCCGCCCUUCAGUGCUGCAGCUAACGCAUUAAGCACUCCGCCUGGGGAGUACGACCGCANGGUUGANCUCAAAGGAAUUGANNGGGCCCGCACAAGCGGUGGANCAUGUGGUUUAAUUCGAAGCACGCGAA